UACGGGGGGGGCAAGCGUUGUUCGGAAUUACUGGGCGUAAAGGGCUCGUAGGCGGCCAACUAAGUCGGAUGUGAAAUCCCCAGGCUUAACCUGGGAACUGCAUCCGAUACUGGAUGGCUUGAAUUCGGGAGAGGGAUGCAGAAUUCCUGGUGUAGCGGUGGAAUGCGCAGAUAUCAGGAGGAACACCAAUAGCGAAGGCAGCUCGCUGGGACGGUAUUGACGCUAAGGCGCGAAAGCGUGGGGAGCAAACAGG
rnacentral:rRNA from 1 species